rnacentral:rRNA from 1 species
UUGAUCCUGGCUCAGGAUGAACGCUAGCGGCGCGCUUAAUGCAUGCAAGUCGAGCGAUGAGGCCCUCUUCGGGGGGUACAUCAGCGGCAGACGGGUGAGUAACACGUAGGUGAUCUACCCCAGAGACGGGGAUAACGGGUGGAAACAUCCGCUAAUACCGGAUAGGCUUGUUCGGUCAAAGGGACAAGGAAAGGCUCCGGCGCUCUGGGAGGAGCCUGCGGCCCAUCAGCUAGUUGGCGGGGUAACGGCCCACCAAGGCAAAGACGGGUAGGGGGUGUGAGAGCAUGGCCCCCCACAAUGGGACUGGAACACGGCCCAUACUCCUACGGGAGGCAGCAGCAGGGAAUAUUGCACAAUGGACGGAAGUCUGAUGCAGCGACGCCGCGUGGAUGAAGAAGGCCCUCGGGUUGUAAAAUCCUUUACAGGGGGAAGAGGAAGGACGGUACCCCUGGAACAAGUGUCGGCUAACUACGUGCCAGCAGCCGCGGUAAGACGUAGGACACAAGCGUUAUCCGGAUUUACUGGGCGUAAAGCGUCUGCAGGCGGACAGGUAAGUUGGGCGUGAAAGCUCCGGGCCCAACCCGGAGAGGUCGUUCAAUACUGCGUGUCUAGAGGGUGUCAGAGGGGAGUGGAAUUUCCGGAGUAGCGGUAAAAUGCGCAGAGAUCGGAAAGAACACCAAUGGCGAAGGCAGCUCCCUGGGGCAACCCUGACGCUAAGAGACGAAAGCUAGGGGAGCGAACAGGAUUAGAGACCCUGGUAGUCCCUAGCCCUAAACGAUGGAUGCUGGAUGUGGGGCCAUAGCGCUCCGUGUCGAAGCGAACGCGUUAAGCAUCCCGGCUGGGGACUACGGGCGCAAGGCUUAAACUCAAACGAAUUGA